CGUGUAGGCGGUCAGGUAAGUGGGACGUGAAAUGCCUCGGCUCACCCGAGGAGCGGCGUCCCAUACUGCUUGGCUUGAGUACGGGAGAGGAUGUGGGAAUUCCUGGUGUAGCGGUGAAAUGCGUAGAUAUCAGGAGGAACACCGGUGGCGAAGGCGCACAUCUGGCCCGAUACUGACGCUGAGGCGCAAGCUAGGGAGCAAACG
rnacentral:rRNA from 1 species